AAACGAUAGCUAAUACCAGCAUAAGAGAGACUAACGCAUGUUAGUAAUUUAAAAGGGGCAAUUGCUCCACUAUGAGAUGGACCUGCGUUGUAUUAGCUAGUUGGUGAGGUAAAGGCUCACCAAGGCGACGAUACAUAGCCGACCUGAGAGGGUGAUCGGCCACACUGGGACUGAGACACGGCCCAGACUCCUACGGGAGGCAGCAGUAGGGAAUCUUCGGCAAUGGGGGCAACCCUGACCGAGCUACGCCGCGUGAGUGAAGAAGGUUUUCGGAUCGUAAAGCUCUGUUGUUAGAGAAGAAUGAUGGUGGGAGUGGAAAAUCCACCAAGUGACGGUAACUAACCAGAAAGGGACGGCUAACUACGUGCCAGCAGCCGCGGUAAUACGUAGGUCCCGAGCGUUGUCCGGAUUUACUUGGGCGUAAAGACGAGCGCAGGCUGGUUUUUUAAGUCUGAAGUUAAAGGCAUUGGCUCAACCAAUGUACGCUUUGGAAACUGGAGAACUUGAGUGCAGAAGGGGAGAGUGGAAUUCCAUGUGUAGCGGUGAAAUGCGUAGAUAUAUGGAGGAACACCGGUGGCGAAAGCGGCUCUCUGGUCUGUAACUGAC
rnacentral:rRNA from 1 species